AGUGGACACGGUUUUAGGUGGGCAACAUUCAUUCUUAUUAAUGAUAUAGAACAGAAAUGGAGGCAAAAAAAAUAAGGGGUUUCACGGAAAAGGGGCUUCUUCUCAUUCCCUUUUUUUUUUUUUUUUUUAAUUUUGUUUUAGGUUCCAAAAUCAAAAAAUAUAAAAAGAAUAAUAUAAUUCUGCCUUCCUUUUAUUUCGAUUUUGGUGUCCAAAAAUGGAGAUCAAUUGAGGUUUGGAGUUCAAUUCGAGCUGUUUCUGGUCGUCGAUUUCCGUCCGUAGCUUCGGUUGCGGCUGAUGAUUUCAAAGCCAAUUUUUACAUGCUUUUGCAGUGUAACUCAAAGUUUGGAAGGUUGCAAUUCGUGAGUACUAAAGAAAAAUUAUUCUUCUGUGAAGGAAGAUUAUCAUAAAAGGUUGGAAGAAUGGCAACAAACUCAGCCUCCUUCAACUCAACCAACACUUGAUGAUAUGACUUCAUUGUGGAGAGAGGCAGCAGGUGGAGCAAACAAAGGCAGAGUCUACAGACUAGGAGUACAUCGACCUAUAGGUCAUCCAAACUCACUCUUAGCCAAUUCUUCGUCUCCUCAAAAUCAAGAACAGAUGGAAGAUAUGAGAAAGGAAAUUCGUGAAUUGAAGCAACAAUUGGACUCCAAAUAUGGAACAUUUGUUAAGAUGCAGAAAUUCAUGCGUAAACAUGGGCAUGAUUUAUCUGAUGAUGAGGAUGAACAAACUGAAUCGAUGUGUAGUAGUUUAGUUGUGAUGUUUUCGUUGAUUGGUAAACUUGAUUGCGAGAGACAACUUUAUGUAUUGCUUUUAGACUUGAAUGUGGACUACUAUUUGGAUAUUUUUAUGCCCAAAAUUGUUAAGUUUAAAGGUUGGUAUUGUUGGUUUAAGUUGUGUUAAUGGUUGGCAUUGUUGGUUUAGAUUUUGUUAAUGUAUUAUUGGUUCGUAUUAUUGUAUUAAUGUAUCGUUGGUUUA